CUCAAUGUCAUUCCUUUCACAGGUCCAAUGUCUGAUAUUCUUUUGGGAAGCUGGAUAUGAGGUUCUUCUCCAAGCUCAGUCUGAAAUGGUGAAAGCAGCCAAGUGCGGUGGCUCACGCCUGUAAUCUCAGCAUUUUGGGAGGCCGAGGUGGACGGAUCACCCGAGGUCAGGAGUUGAGACCAGCCUGGCCAACAUGAUGGAUACCUGUGACCAAACAUUGCAAGUUAAAGAUAUUUCUGAAUCUUGGACCUCUUAUUUACAGUGAAGCCCGGCCAUGCAUAAUAAAGCAGAGAG